GGAUGCAAAAAUUGAGCCACAGGCAAGUCCAGUUACUGCUGCUGAAAUGAAUGAAAGCUCUAGCAAAUUAUUGGGCACGACCAAAGCAGCUAAUGCGACUGGAAAACUUGGAUCUGUGAUUUCUCCUGGAAUGUCUACUGCAUUGGAACUGAGAAAUCCUUCCAGUAUAAAUGCCAUGACAAGUCCAACGACGGUUCCACCUUGUUCAGUACUGCCUUCUGAAGUCUGGCUCCAGAAUGAAAAGGAGCUAAAACGGGAAAGGAGAAAACAGUCGAAUAGAGAAUCCGCUAGGAGGUCAAGGUUGAGGAAGCA
rnacentral:misc_RNA from 1 species